UACAGAGGGGGCAAGCGUUGUUCGGAAUUACUGGGCGUAAAGGGCGCGUAGGCGGCCGCCUAAGUCAGACGUGAAAUCCCUCGGCUCAACCGGGGAACUGCGUCUGAUACUGGGUGGCUUGAAUUCGGGAGAGGGAUGCGGAAUUCCAGGUGUAGCGGUGAAAUGCGUAGAUAUCUGGAGGAACACCGGUGGCGAAGGCAGCUUGCUGGGACGUUACUGACGCUAAGGCGCGAAAGCGUGGGGAGCGAACAGG
rnacentral:rRNA from 1 species